CUCCGCCGCGCGCUGGGACUGCACCCUUCACCCGGCCCCGCUUGCUCCGGCCGUCCCCGCCCCCGCCGACCACCACGGCCUCCAUCCCGGCGGCAUCUGCUGCUGCGGCCGCCGCGGAAUCUUCGAGUGGCGUCGGCGAUGCAAACGAGUGCGCUCAGAGGCUACGAGAGAGGCGAGGCUGCUCUGUCUGCCCGAGGGCCGGCAAGCAGGUGGCUGCCAGGGCGCUCUCCUGCUAGAGAGUCCAUGAUGGCGCAGCACUGCUUGCCCGUCACCCAUCCGGUGGCCCGGCUUCGAAAAAUUUUCCGCCGAGCAGUGACCUCCUCGAUUCCACCGACCCAGCCAUGGACUUGGGAUGAGAGCGCGCUUGCUCGUGGUGCCUACACACCAUGCGCUCAACCUCCCCCACAUUGUCCGCCACCACAGUUGUUCCAUCUAGCUAAGCUCCCCCUUAGUCCAGUAAAUAAAUGAUGCUGGAGAACGGUGGUCAGGAGCACGCAUGCAAGUUACUCGACGAAAUGCCACUGCUGGUUGCUGCUAAGGGGACGUGCACAUGCAGAACCAGGAGAUAUAUGGAUGGAGCCCGGGCAAAGUUCAUGGCAGCUCUCCGUUCCACCAUAAGUUGAACACAAAGAAUUAGAGUGACAGGCAGAUAAUUUGAAUGAAAGCUGAAACAAUAUCGUGUUGUGACAUUCCACGUGCUAUAUCUCAAGUAUUUAGGAU